UUUAAUCAAUACUAAAUUGAUUCGUCACAUUUGCUAACCAAAUAAAACUAAAUAUAUUUAUGCAGUUGCAGUAAAAGUGAAGUUAUCUCAGCUCGUAAGGUUUCCUUCAAAUUGAAAAUAUGAGAACCAAAAGUUCUUUAUUAACUUUCAUUUUUUUGCUGUUGUUUAGCUUCCAGCUGAUUUCCGGAGUCCUACUGGGAGACGCUGAAGAAAUGGGCCCUGAAUGGUGAUCAAUACCGAUUGAAUACGGAGAGAUUCACCAACGUGAUAUCACUAAAGAUGAUAUCAACCACAAGGAGGGCAAAAUUUAAAAAUAUUCUCGAAUUGCACAGUCGUUAAAACUGAACCCUUUAAUAAAUCGAAGAGUCAUUUAAGUCACCCAGA
rnacentral:misc_RNA from 1 species